UAGCAUUCACAGCUGCCAUGGGAUG
rnacentral:piRNA from 1 species